CUAGCUGUAAACGAUGGAUACUAGGCGUUGAGAGUAUCGACCCUCUCAGUGUCGUAGCUAACGCGUUAAGUAUCCCGCCUGGGGAGUACGCGCGCAAGCGUGAAACUCAAAGGAAUUGACGGGGGCCCGCACAAGAGGUGGAGUAUGUGGUUUAAUUCGAUGCAACGCGAAGAACCUUACCAGGGCUUGACAUGUCCGGAACCCUGCCCAAAGGCGGGGGUGCCUACGGGAACCGGAACACAGGUGGUGC
rnacentral:rRNA from 1 species